rnacentral:rRNA from 1 species
AUUGAACGCUGGCGGCAGGCCUAACACAUGCAAGUCGAGCGGAUGAAGGGAGCUUGCUCCUGGAUUCAGCGGCGGACGGGUGUGUAAUGCCUAGGAAUCUGCCUGGUAGUGGGGGAUAACGUCCGGAAACGGGCGCUAAUACCGCAUACGUCCUGAGGGAGAAAGUGGGGGAUCUUCGGACCUCACGCUAUCAGAUGAGCCUAGGUCGGAUUAGCUAGUUGGUGGGGUAAAGGCCUACCAAGGCGACGAUCCGUAACUGGUCUGAGAGGAUGAUCAGUCACACUGGAACUGAGACACGGUCCAGACUCCUACGGGAGGCAGCAGUGGGGAAUAUUGGACAAUGAGCGAAAGCCUGAUCCAGCCAUGCCGCGUGUGUGAAGAAGGUCUUCGGAUUGUAAAGCACUUUGAGUUGGGAGGAAAGGCAGUAAGUUAAUACCUUGCUGUUUUGACGUUACCAACAGAAUAAGCACCGGCUAACUUCGUG